UACGGAGGGUGCAAACGUUGCUCGGAAUCAUUGGGCGUAAAGCGCACGUAGGCGGUCCAGCAAGUCGGGUGUGAAAGCCCUCGGCUUAACCGAGGAAGUGCAUUCGAAACUACUGGACUUGAAUACUGAAGAGGAUCGCGGAAUUCCAGGUGUAGUGGUGAAAUGCGUAGAGAUCCGGAGGAACACCAGUGGCGAAGGCGACACGCUGGGCCGUACCUGACACUGAUGCGCGACAGCAUGGGGAGCAAACAGG
rnacentral:rRNA from 1 species